AUGAAUCAGAAGUUCAGUACAUCGCCUCUUCUUCGAAUGUAUCCUGGCGCGCCAGGCCUGGGCAAUGCUUUCUGUCUGACAUUUUUGGUGUGCCGCUGGGUGCUGAUUUUCUGCGUACUGUUUUCAGGGCAAAAGUUGGCUAGGCAUAACAAUGCUGUCAUUGCUGUGGCACAAGAUGGUGGCAAACGUUGGAAGAUGGCAGGAUAUUCACUCGAGGCUGCUCCAUCGCGCUGUCCUGAGGAUUGCCUGGAAUCUGGAGAUGAAGUGGAUCAGGUUGGUAUCUUGUGUUCGACACCAAAAGCUGCAUCGGCUAACGGCUCAGCGAGCUCCCCAAGCGAUAGGCGAUGCUUGAUUUUCAUUUUCCGGUCUUUUCCUUGUCCCUGUGCUGAGCUAUUCUGGGUUCACACUUUUGGUUGA
rnacentral:rRNA from 1 species